GGGCACAUGGUGUAGUUGGUUAUCACAUCUGCUUAGCAAAUCAAGCUACAAUCCUGCAGGGGGUGCUGGGUUCAAUUCCCAGUGUGUCCA